rnacentral:rRNA from 1 species
UACAUGCAAGUCGAGCGAAGUUUUUCUGGUGCUUGCACCGGAAAAAUUUAGCGGCGAACGGGUGAGUAACACGUAAAGAACCUGCCUCAUAGACUGGGACAACUAUUGGAAACGAUAGCUAAUACCGGAUAACAGCAUUAACUGCAUGGUUAAUGUUUAAAAGUUGGUUUUGCUAACACUAUGAGAUGGCUUUGCGGUGCAUUAGCUAGUUGGUGGGGUAAAGGCCUACCAAGGCGACGAUGCAUAGCCGACCUGAGAGGGUGAUCGGCCACACUGGGACUGAGACACGGCCCAGACUCCUACGGGAGGCAGCAGUAGGGAAUCUUCCGCAAUGGGCGAAAGCCUGACGGAGCAACGCCGCGUGAGUGAAGAAGGAUUUCGGUUCGUAAAGCUCUGUUGUUAGGGAAGAAUGAUUGUGUAGUAACUAUACAUAGUAGAGACGGUACCUAACCAGAAAGCCACGGCUAACUACGUGCCAGCAGCCGCGGUAAUACGUAGGUGGCAAGCGUUGUCCGGAAUUAUUGGGCGUAAAGCGCGCGCAGGUGGUUUAAUAAGUCUGAUGUGAAAGCCCACGGCUCAACCGUGGAGGGUCAUUGGAAACUGUUAAACUUG